AGUGGGUUUGUUAUAUCAGGAGUGGGCUCCUUAUGAAAGCGUGAGUUUACUCCCCUCCCUUCCCUCGCCCUCUCUUUACUCUUCCACUCAUCUGUCAUGUGAGGAACAGUGUUCUUCCCACGCGCCCCCGUAGGAUGCAGCAUUCAAGACGCCAUCUUAGAAGUGGAAGCCAGGCCCGCAGCACACACCAAACCUGCCAGCACCUUGACCCUGGACUUUCUAGCCUCCAGAACUAGAGCUGACCACUGGGACCUGUGCUAAUUCUAAGACAGCUGAGGCCCCAGGAAGAGUGGAGGAAGAAGAGAAUCACCACAUAUCGUAUUUAGAGGUCCUGCAGAAAGGGCAGAGCGAGUUUCAUGUUUGAGUGCAGUGGAUGCAUGGGCAAAGCAUUACACAGCCGCUCCAUGGAAGUGACAAUGAGCCUUGUCUUUCACACAUAACUCCAGGAACCAGGGGAAACAAAACCAAUUCCACCCAGAGGUACAGACAAAGAAGAGCACCCUCCCAAAGGAGCCCGCAUGAUAAGUGGCCACGGCGAACAUCACUGUGAUCAGUCAGAAAGGCAGGCGAGUUAUUAGCUUAGCCCUGAACCUCCUACUUAAUGUAGAACCAGUGGUGAUGGUUAACAGACCCUGGCUGCAGUGACAAGCCUGGGACCUGCUCGAGGAAAUCCAAUUGAAAAGCAGCCAAGAGGAACAACAAGCUAGAAACAGAUGUUCCAGCUACCAGGAUGUGCACGCAUUUAACCUGAAUAUGUAGUUGGGGUGGGAUGGUAGCAUUCGUUUCUAAAUAUAGUGAUUUCACUUCUUCCCCCAUAUAGAUAUUGUCAAGUUCAAUUAUAGCCAUCCACAUUAGUUUUGUCAAAUUUUCUGCAAUUUCUUUAAAAUAAGAAGAUGUCAGAAUGAUAACUGCUAUUAAGGGAAUUCAGGGUGUUUGAUUUAUCUACCCAGUCUUACUAAAACAUUUCAGUUAAAUCAUCCACUCUUAAACUCCAGUCUCAUAGCAAUUAAAAAUUAUCUUUUAAAAAAUUGCCCAAAUGAAAUUCCAACAGUUCAUGUAAUUAUUUGAUUUAAUAUUACCAUGUUAGUAAAAUAUCUUUAAGAUAGUUAUA